CUGCUGCAAACCGGAGAUCUCAGCCUGACCCUGAGAAACCUCACUGUCAGAGACUUCGGUAUCUACUCCUGCACUGUCCUCAAGGACGGAGACCCCAUAUGCUGCAAAAUAGUGCAGCUCAAGGUGAAAGGGAGAGGAUGGCUCGGGUUUUAAAGAAGAAAGCACCUUGAAACCGACGCCACCCUGAACACUGAACCAGCUUAAGGAUCUGAAAACGUCCUCCUCUCCUUCCUGUUCCUGUCCGGCUCCGUCACAGUUCCCACCACAUCUUCUGUACAAACACAAAACAGAACCAGAGAAGAGAC